rnacentral:rRNA from 1 species
UACAGAGGUCUCAAGCGUUGUUCGGAUUCAUUGGGCGUAAAGGGUGCGUAGGUGGCGCUGUAAGUCGGGUGUGAAAUUUCGGAGCUUAACUCCGAAACUGCAUUCGAUACUGGCGUGCUUGAGGACUGGAGAGGAGACUGGAAUUCAUGGUGUAGCAGUGAAAUGCGUAGAGAUCAUGAGGAAGACCAGUGGCGAAGGCGGGUCUCUGGACAGUUCCUGACACUGAGACACGAAGGCCAGGGGAGCAAACGG